AUGCAUACCCGUUUGCAUGUACUUUAUGAAUAAGGAUCGGCUAACUCCGUGCCAGCAGCCGCGGUAAUACGGAGGAUCCGAGCGUUAUCCGGAUUUAUUGGGUUUAAAGGGAGCGUAGAUGGAUGUUUAAGUCAGUUGUGAAAGUUUGCGGCUCAACCGUAAAAUUGCAGUUGAUACUGGAUGUCUUGAGUGCAGUUGAGGCAGGCGGAAUUCGUGGUGUAGCGGUGAAAUGCUUAGAUAUCACGAAGAACUCCGAUUGCGAAGGCAGCCUGCUAAGCUGCAACUGACAUUGAGGCUCGAAAGUGUGGGUAUCAAACAGGAUUAGAUACCCUGGUAGUCCACACGGUAAACGAUGAAUACUCGCUGUUUGCGAUAUACGGCAAGCGGCCAAGCGAAAGCGUUAAGUAUUCCACCUGGGGAGUACGCCGGCAACGGUGAAACUCAAAGGAAUUGACGGGGGCCCGCACAAGCGGAGGAACAUGUGGUUUAAUUCGAUGAUACGCGAGGAACCUUACCCGGGCUUAAAUUGCACUCGAAUGAUCCGGAAACGGUUCAGCUAGCAAUAGCGAGUGUGAAGGUGCUGCAUGGUUGUCGUCAGCUCGUGCCGUGAGGUGUCGGCUUAAGUGCCAUAACGAGCGCAACCCUUGUUGUCAGUUACUAACAGGUGAUGCUGAGGACUCUGACAAGACUGCCAUCGUAAGAUGUGAGGAAGGUGGGGAUGACGUCAAAUCAGCACGGCCCUUACGUCCGGGGCUACACACGUGUUACAAUGGGGGGUACAGAGGGCCGCUACCACGCGAGUGGAUGCCAAUCCCUAAAACCCCUCUCAGUUCGGACUGGAGUCUGCAACCCGACUCCACGAAGCUGGAUUCGCUAGUAAUCGCGCAUCAGCCACGGCGCGGUGAAUACGUUCCCGGGCCUUGUACACACCGCCCGUCAAGCCAUGGGAGCCGGGGGUACCUGAAGUGCGUAACCGCGAGGAUCGCCCUAGGGUAAAACUGGUGACUGGGGCUAAGUCUAACCAAGGUAA
rnacentral:rRNA from 1 species